rnacentral:rRNA from 1 species
UACAGGGGGGGCAAGCGUUGUUCGGAAUUACUGGGCGUAAAGGGCCAGUAGGCGGCCAACUAAGUCACACGUGAAAUCCCCAGGCUUAACCUGGGAACUGCGUGUGAUACUGGAUGGCUUGAAUUCGGGAGAGGGAUGCAGAAUUCCAGGUGUAGCGGUGAAAUGCGUAGAUAUCUGGAGGAACACCGGUGGCGAAGGCGGCAUCCUGGACCAACACUGACGCUGAGUGAGCGAAAGCCAGGGGAGCAAACGGG